AUUGAACGCUGGCGGCAGGCCUAACACAUGCAAGUCGGACGGUAGCACAGAGAGCUUGCUCUCGGGUGACGAGUGGCGGACGGGUGAGUAAUGUCUGGGAAACUGCCCGAUGGAGGGGGAUAACUACUGGAAACGGUAGCUAAUACCGCAUAACGUCUUCGGACCAAAGUGGGGGACCUUCGGGCCUCACACCAUCGGAUGUGCCCAGAUGGGAUUAGCUAGUAGGUGGGGUAAUGGCUCACCUAGGCGACGAUCCCUAGCUGGUCUGAGAGGAUGACCAGCCACACUGGAACGGAGACACGGUCCAGACUCCUACGGGAGGCAGCAGUGGGGAAUAUUGCACAAUGGGCGCAAGCCUGAUGCAGCCAUGCCGCGUGUAUGAAGAAGGCCUUCGGGUUGUAAAGUACUUUCAGCGGGGAGGAAGGCGAUGAGGUUAAUAACCGCAUCGAUUGACGUUACCCGCAGAAGAAGCACCGGCUAACUCCGUGCCAGCCGCCGCCGUAA
rnacentral:rRNA from 1 species